AGUGGAAUUGCUGGGUCGUAUAAGUCUAUGUUUAACUUUGUAAGAAACUGCCAAAUUAUUUUCCAGAGUGGCUGUUUGUACCAUGUUGCACACCCACCUGCAU
rnacentral:pre_miRNA from 1 species